AUGAGUUUACGGCAUCUCUCAAAUGACGUUGGUGCGGAUGGGGUUACUCCCGCCCAGUUUCUUGCCUCUGGUCAAAGGGCAAGUGGCGAGCCUGAGU
rnacentral:ncRNA from 1 species